rnacentral:lncRNA from 1 species
UCUGCUCUUAGAGCUCCAUCUCACACUGGGCUCCCACUGGCUCCUGAAGCUCUACCUCACGUUGAACUUCCUGUCAAGAGAUAGUGUCCUCCAUACUUUCUUCUCUUCAUCACAACCCUAUUACCAUGCAUGACCCUCAAGAUUCCACAUCAGCUCUCUAUCUGUAGCCACUUGAAUCCAGUCUGCUCAAUAAAAUCAGAUUAUUCCUAAAGUUAGGUAUA